rnacentral:lncRNA from 1 species
UGUGUUUUCAGUGAUUUUCCCCAAGACUUUUUGUUUUGUUUUGUUUUUUUGAGACAGUGUCUUGCUCUGUUGCCCAGGCUGGAGUGCAGUGGUACAAUCUCAGCUCACUGCAGUCUCAGCCUUCUGGGCUCAAGUCAUCCUCCCUCUUCCCACCCAAACCUCCCCGGUAGCUGGGACUACAGGCAUGUGUCACCACGCCCAGUUGAUUCUUGUAUUUUUUGUAGAGACGGGGUUUCACCACGUUGCCUAGGCUGGUCUUGAAUGCCUAGGCUCAAGCGAUCCGCCUGCCUUGGCCUCUAAAAGUGCUGGGAUUACAGGCAUGAGCCACAAUACCUGGCCUUCCCCAAGACUUUUAAGUGAAACUUAGAAUCAAAUAAUGCACUUCCAGCAAUCCUGAACAAAUCUGAUUUUUCAAGACAUUGCUGAAACACUUCAAUUUGAGAAAUGUUUAUUCCGACCCAAAGCCAUACCCAGGGCAGCUGUCUUCUUUUUCCCUUUAUUCCAUAAGGUAAGAAAAAAACAUACUCACAGAGCCUUAGAGUUGUAAAGGCACCUGGUCACCUGGAAGGUGACUUGAAAGAACCCCUGCCCCUCCUCUUGCAUAUACCUCUGGAUUGUUGGGGAAUCUGCAUUCAUUUCUUCACCCGCACUGCCUCUGUACAGAACCCCGCUGAGUCAGUGUCUGUUCCAGGUUAUCUAGCAGAAUCGAGAGCUAACCCACAACUUACAUCUCAAGUUUGGUAGUUAAUCUCAUAAUUUUUUAAAAAUGAAAACAGCCAGGAUUUAUGCAGUUCCAAGAGCCAGCCGGGUAAAAUAUAGACCCAACUCUGUUUUGGUGAAUGGAGGGGAGAUGAGAAGAGAAAAACCUCCCAGAACAAAGGAGGAGGUAUAAUUAUGUUUGCCUCAGAGAAAACUGGGAGAGAAACCAUUCAUCUUCCAUUCAUUCAUCUUCCGUUCCCAGAUCUUGGAAGAAUAGUCACUGUAAUGUGGGGGCUAGAAGCAUUGGCUUAUGAAGUGGACAGGCAAAGGUAGGUUUUCAGCUCCACCACAUCCUAGCUAGGUAAACUUGGACAAGUUGCUUAAACUCUCCACUACUCCAAGAGGUUACAGAUCACUGAAAGUACAGACAUUGGCAAGUAUUUUUUGGAAACACAUUAUGGGUCCUAAGGACUAUAAUAUAGUCUAUAAAUCUGGAAUUUUAUGCUGGAAAAUACAACUUGUUUUCAAAUGGAAAAUGAUUGUGUUUUGUAUAAAACAACAGAGUCACAUUUUAAGACCAGGCUGGAUAACAUAACAAGACCCCUUCUCUACAAAAAAUAAUAAAAAUAAGCCAGUUAUAAAGAGAGCUGAAUAAUAACAAAAGAAAAAAGAAAAAAAUUAGCUAGGUGUGGUGGUGUGUUUGGGAGGCUGAGGCAGGAGGAUCACUAGGGAUCAGGAAAUCAUGACCAGCCUGGGCAACAUAGCAAGACUCCCAUCUCUACCAAAAAAAAAAAAAUUGUUUUUAAUUAGCUGGGCAUGGCAGUGUGCUUGGAAGGCUGUGGUGGGAGGAUCACUUGAGCCCAGGAGUUUGAGGUUAUGGUGAACUAUGAUUGCAGCAUUGCACUCCAGUCCAGGCAACAGAGCAAGACAGUGUCUCUGAAAAUAAAAAUAAAACAGCAGAGUCACAUUUUCAAAUUGUAGAUGCCAACCUCUUCUUUCCCAGGCCUGACUGCCUCACACACUUUGUUUAGUAUAGAGCACUUCCCCAUAAGCCACCAAGCCCCAGUUAUGGCGUAAUUCAAACCCUGCCCCUAGAAUUUCAUGUAGGAGGGUCACAGGUCUGUGUGCUCAGCAAAUGUUUGCUGUCCUCUGCUGGGAAUUUUGUUCCAGGUCACACUAACAGGGCAGAUACUUGGCAGCCUGUGACCAGGUCCAGCCCACUCAUUGGUCAGAUGGAAAUUUUCUUUCCAGUUUGGAGGAGGGAGCAACUGGAGAAAGCUUAUCCAAGGUUCAUCGCUGUGACAUUUUUCCUGCUUUGUGGACCCCAUUUCUGCUUGUGACCAGUGAUCAAAUUUUAUACAUACUUAGACAUAUUUUGAAGACAUGAGUACCCUACUGUUUCACGUAGACCUCUGGGAACUGUCAAACUUCUUUCCUACCAAAUUCCUUUUUUCUUUUUUUUUUAGACAGAGUCUCACUCACUCUGUUACCCAGGCUGGAAUGCAGUGGUGCGAUCUCAGCUCACUGCAAACUCUGCCUCCUCAGGUUCAAAUGAUUCUCCUAACUCAGUCUCCCGAAUAGCUGGGAUUACAGGUGCACGACACCAUGCCCAGCUAAUUUUUGUAUUUUUAGUAGAGACGGGGUUUCACCAUGUUGGCCAGGAUGGUCUCCAACUCCUGACCUCAAGUAAUUCACCCGCCUCAGCCUCCCAAAGUGCUGGGAUUACAGGCGUGAGCCACUGCGCCCAGCCCUUGGCUACCAAAUAUCUAAAGAUAGAAGAAAGGAUGAGAUUAAUGAUAGACUAAGAAGAGUUUGGGAAUGCCUGUUGGUAAUUAGGGUGGACUGUCUUUGGAAAUAAUAAUAGGUAACAAAUAUGUGUUUUCUCUAUGUCAUGUGCUGUGUUAAAUACAGGAUCUUAUUCAAAGCUCAGCCCUCAUUUUGGAGACAAGGAAACUGAGGCUCAAAGAGGUUAAGCAACUUGUCCAAGGUUACCUAGCUAGGUGGUGGAGCUGAAAACCUACUUAUGCCUGUCUAUUUCAUAAGCCAAUGCUUCUAGCCCCCAUGUUACAGUGACUACUCUUCCAAGGUCUGGGAAUGGAAGACGAAUGAAUGGAAGAUGAAUGGUUUCUCUCCCGGUUUUCUCUGAGGCAAACAUAAUUAUACUUCUUCCUCUGUUCCUGGAGGUUUUUUCUUCUCAUAUCACCUUUAUUCAACAAAACAGAAUGGGUCUAUAUUUUAUCCAGCUGGCUCUUGGAACCACAUAAAUCCUGGUUGUUUUCAUGGAAAAAAAAAAAAGAAAGAACAGAAAAAGUACAGCUUGCUAUCUUAUCCCACAUGAAUAUCAGAUGUGCAAAGUCAGCUAUAAAUAAGAGGAUAUUUUGGCCAGGCACAUUGGCUCACGCCUGUAAUCCCAGUGCUUAGGGAGGCCUAGGCGGGCUGAUCACUUAAGGUCAGGAGUUCAAGAUCAGCCUGGCCAACAUAGCGAAACCCCGUCUCUACUAAAAAUACUAAAAAAAAAAAAAAAAUUAGCCGGGCAUGGUGGCAGGUGCCUGUAGUCUCAGCUACUCAGGAGGCUGACCCAGGAGAAUCACUUGAACCCAGGAGGCAGAGGUUGUGGUGAGCUGAGAUUGCGCUACUGCACUCCUGCCUGGGUGAUAGAGUGAGACUUUGUCUCAAAACAAAACAACAAAACAAAAACAGGAUAUUUUUUAAAAUGCUGAGAGUCCCUAAUUCAUUCUCAGGAAAUUCAGUCUCCUACAAGCCAGAUCAUGCACAAAUUCUCAGCAUCACCUAAAGCCUAAGCCACCUCACCAAAGGGGGAGGGAGGGAUCAGUUGUUACCAUUUUGCAGUCAAAGCCCCAGGGUGUGUGUCUGAGAAGACUGAACUUGAGUAAAUUAAGCUCUUCAGAUAAAUACGGUUUGCUGAAAUUAAACAUGAAACAUUCUGCAAAAGUAGGUGUACUAUCCGGAAGCCAAGUAAUUAACAUCAAUGCAGGACCCCGGAACAGAAAAAGGUCAUUAAAGGAAAAACUGGUGAAAUCCAAAUAAAGACUAGAGUUUAGUUCCUAGCAAUGUGUCAGUGUUGGUUUCUCAGUUUUGACAAAUGUGCCACAGUGGUGUAAGCUGUUAACAUUAGGGGAAACCGGAACCGGGUGAGGGCGUGCCUGAGAAUUAUCUGUGCUAGCUUUGAAACAUUUCUGUACAUUUGGCUGAGCUCAUGCCUAUAAUCCCAGCACUUUGGGAGGCCGAGGCGGGUGGAUCACAUGAGGUCAGGAGUUCAAGACCAGCCUGGCCAACAUGGUGAACCCUCAUCUCUACUAGGAGGUUGCAGUGAGCUGGGAUUGUGCCACUGCACUCCAGCCUGGGUGACAGAGCAAGACUGCGUCUCAAAAGAAAAGAAAUUUUUCUGUACAUUUAAAUUAUGCCAAAAUAAAAAGUUUAAAAUUUCAGUACCAAUGAACUGGUUUUCUUUCUUAUAGGAAUACUGAAGGGGGCUUGUAACACUUAAACUUCUUUCUCUGGAGACAGGGUCUCACUCUGUUGCCCAGGUUGGAAUGCAGUGGCAUGAUCACAGCUCACUGCAGCCUCGACUUCCUGGACUCAGGUGUUUCUCCCACCUCAGCCUCCUGAGAAACUGGGACUACCAGUGCACGCCACCAUGGCUGGCUAAUUUUUUGUAUUUUUUGUAGAGAUGGGGUCUCACCAUGUUGCCCAGGCUGGUCUUGAGCUCCUGAGUUCAAGGGAUCCGCCCACCUCAACCUCCCAAAGCGCUGGGAUUACAGGCAUGACCCACCGCAUCCGGCUAAGCUUCUCUCAAACAAGAUAAAGCUUGCUUCUCUUGCUACCUUUGAACCUCAGCAUAAAGAAUAGUUACCAACAAUGGAGAGUUUGUGCUUUCUUUUAAAAAAAAAAAGCAAAACCAGAUGCAGAGCCAGGUCAGUGCCAAGUGAAAAAGAGCCAUGCGAUAUCUUCGCAUUUUUUGAAUGAAUCUUUUCCUUUUGUUGUCAUGCCCUUUUAGUGUCAUUUUUAAUUGACUGGGCAAAUGAACUGCAGCAUUUUGUAGAUGCCAAAGAGGUACUGAAUUUCUUAGAACCCAAGUGCACACAAGUGAACUUCAGGAAGUUUUGCAACUUUUUUUCCAGAAAGUGGUGGGCAGCCACAGGACCGAAGGAAACACCCGUCAACAUAACCAAGAGGAUUUCCUGCCCACACACUCAGCGUCUCAACGUUAUUUGAACGGUUUGUAGAUGUCUUUCUUUAGAAAUAUACUAAUAAAAUUGGAAAUACGGGAUCAGUAGUCCUAGCAAACCAAAAUGACUUCAUCCAUUUCUGGAGAAUAAUGAAGUCCUAUGCAUUCAAGUUGUUUUCUUUUUUCUUCUUUCUUUCUUUUUUUUUUUAAGACCUUUUCUUGGUUAUGACAAAUGUAACACAAUAAUUUUUUUUUUUUUGAGAUGGAGUCUUGCUCUGUCGCCCAGGCUGGAGUGCAGUGGCACGAUCUCAGCUCAUUGCAACCUCCGCCUCCCAGGUUCAAGUGAUUCUUCUGCCUCAGCCUCCCGAGUACCUGGGACUACAGGCGCUCGCCACCAAGCCCAGCUAAUUUUUGCAUUUUUAGUAGAGACAGGGUUUCACCAUAUUGGCCAGGCUGGUCUCGAACUCCUGACCUCGUGAUCCACCCACUUUGGCUUCCCAAAAUGCAGGGAUUACAGGUGUGAGCCACCGCGCCUGGCUGUAACACAAUAAUUUAAGAUGACAACAUUCGAGGAAGUUAGAACUGAGAAGAGGGUACACAGCAUUUUCUGCGAGAUUGACUCAACUUUGAUUCCAUCAAGGAAACAAAAAUAUUGUAUAGAAAUUUACUCUUCAUUCUCUCCCAAAACAUUUAAGAGUUUUUCAUUUUUCUUUGUAAGAAUAUAAAAGGUUUUCCUAAACUCUUUGCAUUCUUUUCCUUUUUCUUCUUCUUUUUUUUUUUUUUUUUUUUUGAGACAGGGUCUCUCUCUGUCACCCAAGCUGGAGUGCAGUGGCACUACCACUACCAUGCCUCACUGCAGCCUGGACCUCCUGGGCUCAAGUGAUCCUUCCACCUCAGCCUUCCAAGUAGCUGGGACUGCAGGCAUGCACCAUGACUCCCGGCUAAUUUUUGUAUUUUUUGUAGAGACAGCGUCCCACUUCGUUGCCCAAGCUGGUCCAGAACUCCUGGAAUAUGCCCGCCUCGGAUUUCCAAAGUGCUGGGAUUAUAGGCGUGAGCCACCUGCACCCGGCCUCUUUUUCCAUUAAUUGGUAUGUUUAAAACAAUGAGCAACAUACCUUCCUUGCUAGAAUCUGCCUCUUGACUCUAGCAUUGGAAUCUAUAAAAUACAAUGCCAAGCAAAGGCAUAGGACACGAGUCCUUUACAAUGAGUGUUGAAAUCAUGGCAUCAGGGACCCAGAAUUCCUGAAUUAUAUUCCUAUUCUUUGCCCAAGCCAUUUUUAUUUUAUUUUAUUUUACUUUAUUUAGAGAUGGGGUCUCGCUCUAUAGCCCAGGCUGGAGUGCAGUGGCAUGAUCAUAGCUCACUGCAGCCAUGAACUCCUGGGCUCAAGCUCAAGCAAUCCUCCUGCCUCAGCCUCCCAGGUAGCUAGGACUACAGGCACAAGCCACCACACCUGGCUUCCCGAACAAUUUUAAAAUUCAUUUAGUCAAUAAACAGGGAGAUGCAGAAAUGAGUCAAAGAGCCUUCAAGGACCAUACAGUGUAAUCUGGAGAUACAGACAGGUAACAGUGCUGCAGCUGUUAUGUUGGAAGUUUGUGGGGGACAUGUGGGAACAAAGCAGGUAUAGAUUGGAGUGGUGUUUGACCUGACUUGAGAGUAGUGAUCUCAGUGGGGGAGAUCUUGGCCCCCAGGGGACAUUCUGCAAUGUCCAAAGACAAUUUUGGUUGUCACAACUUGGAGGAGGGGAGGGGUGCCACUGGCAUCUGGUGGGCAGAGGCCAGGGAUACUGUUAAACAUCCUAUAAGGGACAGAGCUGCCCCUCACCACAAAGAAUUGUCCAGCCCCACAUGUCAAUAACACUGAGGUUGAGAAACUGUAGUUUAAACAAACAGAAGAAAUGGGGUUUACCAGGCAAACUAAACAGAGAAGAAUAAUUCAGGGAAGUGGUAAGACAGGAGUGAGGGAUGGACAGAUAAGCUGGAGAUGUAAUCUGUAUGCUUAAGCUGAUUAUUUUUUCCCUUUGAACCUUAAUUUUCCCAUUCACAAAAUAGUGAUGCUAUAAUGUGGAAUGACUCACCUCUUUUCCUGGUAUCAGAAGAAAGUGCCACUGAUAAAAAUUGUGUGCCUGGGUCCCACCUACUUCUAAUUGUCCUGCUCAAGCCUACCUGUUCCUCAGCAGUGCUGGUAGCUUAUUGAUGAGAACAAAGACGGUACUUGGGAAAUCUAAGGAAGGGCAAUGUGGCAGGUAAAAUUGUCAGUAAGCCGGGCGUGGUGGCUCACGCCUGUAAUCCCAGCACUGUGGGAGGCCGAGGCAGGCUGAUCACCUGAGGUUGAGACUUCGAGACCAGCCUGACAAACAUGGAGAAACCUCGUCUCUACUAAAAAUACAAAAUUAGCCGGGCACGGUGGCGCAUGCCUGUAGUCCCAGCUACUCGGGAGGCUGAGGCAGGAGAAUGGCGUGAACCCAGGAGGCGGAGCUUCCAGUGAGCCGAGAUUGCGCCACUGCACUCCAGCCUGGGCGACAGAGCAAGACUCGGUCUCAAAAAAAAAAAAAAAAUUGUCAGUAAAAGCGAGGACUGUAUUUAAUGGCAUGUAACAAGAACCCAGCUACCACAGGAAUUAUAAUUCUUAUGUAAUGUGACAUCUGGAAAUGGGCAGUCUAGAGCUAAAUGGCCACUCCAUGGUGCCAUCAGGAGCCCAGACUCCUUCUGUCUUUCCCCUCUGACGUCCUUAGCAUGUGACUCCAAUCCGCAUAUUUGUGAGAUGGCGGCUGAACCUCUCAAUCUUUGGAAGUUUCAUCAGCAUUCCAGGCAAGGAAGAGGGGAAAAAAGGAAAAGAGCAACAGGCAAAAGGUGAAAGCCUUCCCAGUUGAGUCUCCUCCACUUAACAAACUUUCCUGGAAUCGUCUGUGCCCAGAACUUCCACGUAUGUAUACAUUGGCCUGAACCACAUUAUGUAACUAUCCAUAAACUCCAGGGAGUCUGGAAGCUGAGUGUUUUCAAGUGGGCAUCUUGAACAAAAUAGUUUUUUUUAAUAAGGAAGAAAAAGUAUAAUAGGUGCCGUGUAGGUAACUAGAACUGUUGCCUUAGUGCUUUAAAAUGAGUACAUUCAGGGCCAGGAGCGGUGGCUCACGCCUGUAAUUCCAGCACUUUGGGAGGCCGAGGGGGGUGGAUCACCUGAGGUUGGGAGUUCAAGACCAGCCUCACCCACAUGGAGAAACCCCGUCUCUACUAAAAAUACAAAAUUAGCUGGGCAUGGUGGCACAUGCCUGUAAUUCCAGCUACUUGGGAGGCUGAGGCAGGAGAAUCGCUUGAACCCAGGAGGCAGAGGUUGGGGUGAGCUGAGAUGGCGCCAUUGCACUCCAGCCUGGGCAACAAGAGUGAGACUCCGUCUCAAAAAAAGAAAAAAAAAAUGAGUUCAUUCAGCUGGGAGCGGUAGCUCAUGCCUGUAAUUCCAGCACUUUGGGAGGGUGAGGCGGGUAGAUCACCUGAGGUCAGGAAUUCGAGACCAGCCUGGCCAAUGUAACAAAACCCCGUCUCUACUAAAAAUACAAACAAACAAAAGAAAUUAGCCAGGCAUGAUGGUGCAUGCCUGUAAUCCCAGCUACUUAGGAGGCUGAGACGGGAGAAUCAUUUGAACCCGGGAGGCGAAAGCUCCAGUGAGCCGACAUCAUGCCACUGCACUUCAGCCUGAGUGACAGAGUAAGACCCUGUCUCAAAAUAUAAUAAAAUAAAAUAAAGCAUAUUGCAGAUAAUGUAACCAUUCAAUAGUCAUUCGAAAAUAUUUAUUGAAUGCCAAGUAUGUACUCAGCACUAUCGUAAGCACAGAACACACAAAAAAUGGAACCACGAAUAACCCUAGCUUCUGCGUCUAAUGAGCUUGUUGAAAUCCAGUUGGGAAAAACAUACAACAUAAACAAUAAGAAGUUGGACAACCAUGAAAGAGUUAAAUAACAAUCUAUAAUAGCAAUAUAAAAAAGCAGUACAUCACUGGUGGGAAUGUAAAAUGGUAUAACCUAUAGCCACUUUGGAAAGCUGCUAAGUUUCUAAAAAAUUUAAACAUAGUAUUUACCAUAUGAUACUGCAAUUCCACUUAUAGGUAUUUACCUAAGAGAAAUGAAAAUAUAAAGAUUUCGCCAGGUCCCGUGGCUCACGCCUAUAAUCCCAACGCUUUGGGAGCCCAACUUAGGUGGAUUACCUGAGGUCAGGAGUUCCAGACCAGGCUGGCCAACAUGGUGAAACUCUGUCUCUACUAAAAAUACAAAAAUCAACCAGGCUUGGUGGCUUGUACCCGUAAUCCCAGCUACUCGGGAAGCUGAGGCAGGAGAAUCAAGAGUCGGAGGUUGCAGUAAGACAGUGAGCUGAGAUCGUGCCACUGCACUCCAGCCUGGGCAACAAAGCGAGAUUCCAUCUCAAAAAGAAAAAAAAAAGUGAGAAUGUUUCUUAAUUGAAAAAACAUAGGCCUGUCUGGGCACAGUGGCUCACACCUGUAAUCCCAACACUUUGGGAGGCCGAGGCGGGCGGAUCACAAGGUCAGGAGUUCUAUACCAGCCUGUCCAACAUGGUGAAACCGUCUCUACUAAAAAAACAAAAAUUAGAUGGGUAUGGUGGCAGGCGCCUGUAAUCCCAGGUACUCGGGAGGCUGAGGCAGGAGAAUUGCUUGAACCCAGGAGGCGGAGUUUGCAGUGAGCCGAGAUCGCGCCACUGCACUCCAGCCUGGGUGACAGAGGGAGACUCUGUCUCGAAAAAAAGAAAAAACAUAAGUCCUUGGUUGGGAGGAAAGUUGUACUGUUCAAAUUUUUUCUGUCUGCUCCCUCUGUUGAUUCUGAGAAUUGUAUUUAUCUCCCAUUGUGAUUUGUGGAUCAUUUUCAUCAUUUCAGUCUUUGUUUUAUACAUUUCUUUUCUUUUCUUUUUUUGAGACAGAGUUUCACUCUUGUUGCCCAGGUUGGAGUGCAAUGGUGCGAUCUCGGCUCACUGCAACCUCCCCUUCCCGGGUUCAAGUGAUUCUCCUGCCUCAGCCUCCUGAGUAGCUGGGAUUACAGGCGCCCACCACCACGCCCAGCUAAUUUUUGUUAUUUUUAGUAGAGAUAGCUGUUGGGAGCAAGCCCCCCAAAGUCUGGUCAUAAACUGGCCCCAAAACUGGCCAUAAAUAAAAUCUCUGCAGCAAUGUAACAUGUCCAUAAUGGCUAUAACGCCCAAGCUGGAAGGCUGUGGGUUUACGGAAAUGAGGGCAAGGAACACCUGGCCUGCCCAGGGCGGAAAACUGCUUAAAGGCAUUCUUAAGCCACAAACAAUAGCAUAAGCAAUUCAUGCCUUAAGAGCAUGCUCCCGCUGCAGUUAACUAGCCCAACCUAUUUCUUUAAUUCAGCCCAUCCCUUCGUUUCCCUUAAGGGAUACUUUUAGUUAAUUUAAUAUCUAUAGAAACAAUGCUAAUGACUGGUUUGCUGUUAAUAAAUAUGUGGGUAAAUCUCUGUUCAGGGUUCUCAGCUCUGAAGGUUGUAAGAUCCCUGAUUUCCCACUUCACACCUCUAUAUUUCCUUUUUUUUUUUUUUUUUUUUUGAGACAGAGUCUCACUCUCGCCCAGGCUGGAGUGCAGUGGCACGAUCUCUGCUCACUGCAAGCUCCGCCUCCCGGGUUCACGCCAUUCUCCCGCCUCAGCCUUCCGAGUAGCUGGGACUACAGGCGCCCGCCACUACGCCCGGCUAAUUUUUUGUAUUUUUAGUAGAGACGGGGUUUCACCGUGUUAGCCAGGAUGGUCUUGAUCUCCUGACUUCGUGAUCCGCCUGCCUCGGCCUCCGAAAGUGCUGGGAUUACAAGCGUGAGCCACCGCGCCCGGCCUCACACCUCUAUAUUUCUGUGUGUGUGUCUUUAAUUCCUCUAGCACUGCUGGGUUAGGGUCUCCCUGACCGAGCUGGUCUCGGCAGAUAAGGUUUCACCAUGUUGGCCAGGCUGGUCUCAAACUCCUGACUUCAGGGGAUCCCCGCCCCAGCCUCCCAAAGAGCUGGGAUUACGGGCAUGAGUCACCGUGCCCAGCCAAUUUUCUUUUGUUUUUUCUUUUGAGACAGGAUCUCACUCUGUCACCCAGGCUUGAAUGCAGUGGUACCAUCUCGGCUCACUGCAGCCUCAAUCUUCUGGGCUCAAAUGAUCCUCCCACCUUAGCCUCCCGAGCAGCUGGGGCUACAAGUGCACACUACCAAGCCCAGCUAAUUUUUUUUUUUUUUUUUUUUUUUUGAGACAGAGUCUUGCUGUGUCCCUCACCCAGGUUGGAGAGCAGUGGUUCGAUCUUGGCUCACUACAACCUCUGCCUCCCGUGUUCAAGCAAUUCUCGUGCCUCAGCCUCCUCAGUAGCUGGGAUUACAGGCACGUGCCACCAUGCCCAGUUAAUUUUUGUAUUUUUAAUAGAGACGGGGUUUCGCCAUGUUGACCAGGCUGGUCUUGAACCCCUGACCUCAGCCUCCCAAAGUGCUGAGAUUACAGGUGUGAGCCGACAUGCUAGGCCUAUACAUUUCAAAAUUAUGUUGCUAUGUUCAUAAAGAUGUAUAUAUGGUAACUUGUACCUUCAAUCAACAUGAAAUACCCUUCUUUGUCCUUUUAAUGCCUUUAUGAUAAAUUCUGUCUCAUAUUAAUAUUGCUACAUAUGCUUUCUUUCCAUAAACAUUUCCAUAAACAUAAAAAUGGCUGGUAAGUCAUUUUCCUUUUUUUUAAAAAAAUUUUUGUUUUUUAGAGGCAGGAGCUCAUUCUGUCUCCCAGGUUGGAGUACAAUGGUUCAAUCAUAGCUCAUAGUUUACUGCAGCCUCGAACUCCUGGGUUCAAGGGAUCUUACCACCUCCGUCUUCCGAGCAGCUGGGACUACAGGUGCAAGUCACCACGCCUGGUUAAUUUUUUUAAAUUUUUUGUAGAGACAAGGUCACAAUAUGUUUCCCAGCCUGGUCUUGAACUCCUGGCCUCAAGCAAUCCUCCUGCCUUGAGAAAUAUAGUAAACAAAAAAUGUGAAAUAACAUGGCAGAAAUAAGUCCAAAUAAAUAAAUAAUCAAAAAUAAAUACAAAUGAUUUAUAUUCUCUUCUUAAAAGAGAGCUCUGAGAAACCCCAAAGCCAGCUAUAUGUUGUUUAUAAAGAGACAUACAUAAAACAAAACAGCAUGAUUAAGAAGAUAAUAUAACCCAUUCACAUUUAUGUUUUAUUAUUUAUAUAUUUGGACUUAUUCCUGCCAUGUUAUUUUCUGUUUUCUGCUUACCAGUGUACAGUAUUUUUCUGUUUUCCCUUUUCUGGAAUGCCUAUUUAUUUCUGUUCCUGUUUUGUCCACCCUUUCCUGACUGAUUCUUUCUGAAUAAUGACUUUUUUUUUUUUUUUUUUUUUUUUUGAGAAAGUCUCACUCUGUUGACCAGGCUGGAGUGCAAUGGCACAAUCUUGGCUAAUUGCAACCUCUGCCUCCCAGGUUCAAGACAUUAUCCUGCCUCAGCCUCCCCAGUAGCUGAGAUUACAGGCGCCCCCCACCAUGUCCGGCUAAUUUUUGUAUUUUUAGUAGAGACUGGGUUUCACCAUGUUGGCCAGGCUGGUCUCGAACUCCUGAUCUCAGGUGAUCUGCCCACCUCGGCCUCCCAAAGUGCUGGGAUUACAGGGGUGAGCCACCGCGUUUGGCCUCAAAGACCGAGAACUUUGUAAUUUAUAUAUUUUAUAGCUCUUAUCACAGGUGUCUAGUAAAUAUUUUUAAACACUUAUGGCACCUGAUGCAAGAAUUACCAGGUUCAUUUUAUAGAGAGGAUAUGAAACUGUCCAAGGGUUUGGACUCACAUGUUCAAGACUGCAUGGACAGCAAUCUGUAGUGGGUCAAAUUAUUGUUUUUAGUAUGAUUUAAAGUGUUUGUCAAAAAUAUAAAAGUUUUGAAAACAAGCUGGGGAAGUGAAUUUCAAUAUCGCAUUAACUAAGAUCAAAGUGCAAUUCAUCAACCUUUUUUCCCCAUCCCGCACCCUGUGCUUUCUCUACUCAGUUACUCACUACACCCUGCUGGACUAAAAGGGUCCUCCAGCAUUUUCUUUCUUACACAGUGAAAGACAUUCUCUUGGCAUUAAUAAAUGUUCACUUAAUAAAUAAAAAGGGCCGGGCUCUGUGGUUCCUGCCUGCAAUCCCAGCAGUUUGGGAGGCCAAGGCAAGAGGAUCGCUUGAGCCUAGGAGUUCCAGCCUAGGCAACGUGGCGAAACCCAGUCUCAAAAAAAAAAAAAAGGAAAAAAAAGGCAUCAAAAAAUAAAACGUAACAGGUGGCAUGACAUGACAUGACUUUUCUAACAGCCUCUUACAGCUUUCCAAGGUCUUUUAAUAUGAAGCUAUAGGUCUCGGCUAGAAGACACCUCCAGACUUCUCCCAAAACAUUUCAGAGGCCCGGAGUAAGUCUCCCCACAUCUGAAGGCACAUCAGAACCCAGGUGGCCCAAGCUGAUGAGAGUUAAACAGGAAGUUGGUUUCUUGGUCCGGCAGAGACUCCAAUCACCCCCACCUCUUUUCCAACCCACAGGACAGCACGUGCUCAGGAGGCUCUGGAGUUGGGACAGCCCAGUUAAAAAAAAAAAAAUCAUUGAUUUCCCUCCCAACGAAGAGGGAGAAAACACGUUAGGAGACUCGUGGCCCAGUCCUGGCAAAAACCAAAACUAUGUCCCUUUAGAGGGCUUAGAUAUCAAGAGAUGGACUUGCUUUUAGUUCUUUUUCCCAUCCUGUUCCCUCCCUACCAAAAUAAAAUUGACCAGCUAAUCCGACUUAAUAACACUAAAGAAUUACUUAGGAACCUGCUAUCUUAACAUUUCACUUUUUGCAUAUCCUCCAAAUACCAGGUAGCAGUCUUACUACUGUUUGCACCCCUAGAACCUGGAAUAGUGCUGCCCGCAGAGGAGGAAGCAAUAAUUACUUGUUAGAGAAGGUAUUGCUGUGCAUUUCUGGGGAAUUUCACAUUUUGUAAUUUGCUUUAAAAAAAGUGGACAGGCAUAUUUACGGGGGUUUCUCGGACUUCUCCAUGUUAAUAUUCGUGUGUAUAAAUCGCUCCCGUGCUGCUCUCUGGGGGCCCCUCUUUCACAAACACCUGGCCACCCUCACGCCACAAUGGCCAGGCAGGAACCUCGACCUCCCCUCGGAGAGGGGGCUCAGGGUCAACCCCGGGGUCUCAGUCUCUACAUGUGACGUUUUCCUGUCCCCUCAUUUAAAAUAACAAGAGGCUGGGCGCAGUGGCUUACGCCUGUAAUCCCAGCACUUUGGGAGGCCGAGGCGGGCGAUCACGAGGUCAGGAGAUGGAGACCAUCCUGGCCAACACGGUGAAACCCCGCCUCUACUAAACUACAAAAAAUUAGCCGGGUGUGGUGGCGGGCGCCUGUAGUCCCAGCUACUCGGGAGGCUGAGGCAGGAGAAUUGCUUGAACCCGGAGGCGAAGGUUGCAGUGAGCUGAGAUCUCGCCACUGCACUCCAGCCUGGUGACAGAGCCUGACUCCGUCUCAAAAAAUAAGAAAAAAAAAUAAAAUAAAAAUAAUAGAGGCCGAAGCGGGAGGUUCACUUGAGCUCAGAAGUUCGAGAUCAGCCUGGGCAACACAGUGAGACCUCGUUUCUAUUUAAAAAAUAAAAUAAAACUAAAUUUAAAAAAAUGCACGCUCAUAGUACAAACUUUAGAAAUGGAACGAAAAACUAAAAUUGAAGGUAUUCCCCUCCAACCCAGAGAUAACACCUAUCGUUUAUUAAGCCCUCACUAUUGUUAAACUUA